rnacentral:lncRNA from 1 species
CCUGUUACCUCUGUAACCGUCCCCAACUAUACAGGAGUCCUUUCUUCCCCCACUCUCUUCCUGUGUGCUGCCCUUCUGGCAGCUUUAUGGGACUUGUACAGCUGGUGAGCAAUCAGCCCUUAAUUACUCACCAGCUCCCAAUCAGCCCCAAUUAGUCCUGGGCGGAGAGCCCGUCGAGACCUGGCACGUCCAGCAGAUGGAGCCAUCGCCUUGUGAUGUACACUCUGUCUGUCAGCAGGCCUCGACGAGUCUCCCCCUGGUGGCUGACCUGCUGUACGCCACACACCCCCACCAUAGCUCUGUCGGGGAGGGGGCUGUCAUCAGUGUGACGUAGGUCUCCCUUCUCGAUAGGGCAUCUGCAUUUCCAUGCUUCGCCCCUGACCUGUGCACAACAGAAAAAAGAAAAGCGUUGAAGGGACAAGAAACACCUGGUGACCCAAUCGUUUGUCUCCCUUCCCCUGGCUAUCCAGACCAGGGGAGCAUGGUCAGUGACCAGGGUGAAGUGGAUACCUAACAGCUAUUUCUUCAGGCGCCUGAACGCUGCUUCUGUCUCGUCCGUCCAUUUCACUGUUUUCGGGAGGCGGGCCCUGGUUAGAUCAGUGAAGGGGGAAGCUAUAGCCGCAAAGUUGGGGAUAAAUCGGCUAUAGUAUCCUUCCAGUCCCAGGAAGGAUUUGACCUGUGUCUUGGUGCGUGGAACAGGCCAGUCGCGUACCGCAUGAACCUUCCUCUCCUGGGGCUUGACGUUCCCCAGUCCGAUCAAAUAACCCAUGUACUCCACCUCCUCGAACCCUAGUUUGCAUUUUUUGGGAUUCACUGUCAACCCAGCUUGCCUGAGCGCGUCCAGCACCGCCUGGGGGCACGUCAGGUGCUCUUCCCAACCUUGGCUGUGGAUGAUGAUAUCAUCCAAAUAGGCCGCUGCGUACUGCUGGUGGGGUCGAAGUACUUUGUCCAUCAGGCGCUGGAAUGUGGGUGGGGCUCCGUGGAGACCGAACGGGAGCACCCGGUACUGAUAUAGUCCGUCUGUUGUCGAAAACAGCAUCUUAUCUCGGGAGGAGGCUGUCAACGGUACCUGCCAAUAACCUUUGGUCGGGUCAAGUGUGCUGAUGUACCGGGCCUUUCCCAAUCGGUCGAUGAGUUCGUCCACCCUCGGCAUGGGGUAGGCUUCGAACAAGCUGAUGUCGUUCACCCCCCGGAAAUCGUUACAGAAGCACAGGCUCCUGUCCGGUUUGGGCACCAACACGAUUGGGCUGUACCAUGGACUCUUCAACGACCCCCAUCCUCAGCAUAGCCUCCACCUCCUGUGUCACGGCCUUCCUUCGGGCCUCCGGAAUCCGAUAUGGCCUCUUUCGUACCGUUUCCCCAGGACGGGUACGGAUGUGGUGUUCAAUGAGGGUCGUGUGGCCCGGCUUCUCGGAGAACACCGGCGUGUUCCGAUCGACGAGCUCCCUGAGCUCUUGCUUCUGGGCCGGGUCGAGGUCCCCAUUGCUCGGGACCACCACUGGUACCGUUGGCGUCCUGGGUCCCGACCAUAACACGGCCAAGGCUGCCCUCUCGUACCAUUUCUUCAACAGGUUCACGUGAUAAAUCUGUUGGGGUUUCCAUCUCCCCGGCUGCCAUACACGGUAAUUGACAGGUGCCAGCUUCUCGAUCACCUCGUAUGGCCCGUGCCAUGUUGCCAGGAACUUACUUUCAGCCGUGGGGCUCAAGACCACCCUGUCAAGACACCCUGUCUCCCACCUGGAAUUCUCGGGGCUGGGCUCCACGAUUGUAGGCUUGGGCGCAUUGGGCCUUCUCCAUAUGUUCCCUCACGACUGGCCAUAUGGCUGUCAUCCGCUCCCUCAUCGUCUCCACGUGCUCUACCAUGCUGCGUAAUGAGGUUGGUUGGGCUUCCCACACCUCCUUGGCGAGGUCCAGUAGGUCUGCUUAGCCUCCUCCCGUAGAGGAGUUCAAACGGGGAAAACCCAGUGGAGGACUGGGGUACCUCUCGGAUUGAGAACAUUAGGUGGGGUAGUAGCUGGUCCCAGUUCUUCCCGUCCUGCUCGAUGACCUUCCGCAGCAUUUGUUUGAGCAUUUUAUUGAACCGCUCGAUGAGCCCAUCCAUCUGCGGGUGGAAGACGGAGGUCCGGAUCUGCUUGAUCUGCAGGAGGGCACAUAAAUCUUUCAUUAGGCGGGACAUAAACUCUGUAACUUGGUCUGUCAGGAUCUCGUUCGGGAUGCCCACCCGGCUAAAGAGGUGGAACAGCUCCCGGGCGAUUUCCUUGGAUACCGCCGCCUGUAGGGUAAUGGCCUCGGGAUACCGGGUGGCAAAGUCUACUAUUAUCAGGAUGUACCGGUGUCCUCGUGCUGUUUUUACCAGGGGUCCCACUAUGUCCAUUGCGAUGCGUCCAAGGGCACCCCGAUGAUCGGUAGGGGGACCAGUGGGUUUCGGAAGUGUGCCUUUGGGGCAGUCAUUUGACACUCCGGGCAACUGCGACAGUCGUCUUCCAUGGCCCUCCUCAUCCCGGGCCAGUGGAACCGGGGUGGCGAUCCGUUCCCGGGUCUUCUCCAUUCCCAGGUGCGCCCCCAACAGGUGGGCCAGCUGAAGAACGGUUCCCACGUACCGUCAGGGUAGCAACAAUAUCUCUUGAAGUUUCCCCUGUUGGUGCGACACCUGACACAAAAGGUUAUUCUUGAUUUGGAAAUGGGGGUAUCGCCAGUCACUCACCCCUGGAAGUAGCUGUCCAUCCACCGUUAUCACUUGGGCUGCGGCGGCUUUGAAGUUAGUAUCCUCCCACUGGACCGUCCCGAAUUGUCCCCUCAGUUGGCCCCCGGCGGGUGUCUCGACUGGCCCCUCAAAAUCGAGGAGGGGGAGGCUAGGCUCUUCCUCCCGUGGUUCCCCAGUGGGGUCGGGUUCCGGCACCCCCUCCGACUCCGGACCUGUAGAUACAGGUUGGUCAACCGUUUGCUUCCGGGCUGCACAGGCGAUGGGUCGUCCUCGCUCUCGUCUUCGGCCGGCUCGUACCUUCUUCCUCAGCUCGUGCCCCCACAGGGCCAUGAACAGCGGACAAUCUCGUCCCACUAGGAGAGGUAACGGCAACUCUGGUACUGCACCCACCAUCAUCUGGCAGCUCCCUUGGGGCGUCACGAUGUUGGCCCAUACGGUUGGAUACCGCUUUGUGUCCCCAUGAACACAGGAAAUGGACAUCUCCCUACCACGUUCGGUCUCCUGGUUCAGCAGGCACAUGGUUAUGAGGGUAACCAUACUUCCGGAGUCCAAUAGAGCUUCCGUGUCGUGUCCGUCAACCUUCACCAGGACCAUGGGUGCAGUUGAUUCACUGCGUGACCCACCUCGCCUCCGGGGCUUGCUGAUGGCAUCGAUUCCUCUCGAGCCAGGCAAUUCCAGGCAAUGUGUCCCCGGGUGCCACACUCAAAACCCCUCCUUUGGUCUCCAUCUACCUGGGGUCGUCGGUGGCAGGUCUGGCCCUACCCCAGCCGUCUCUCCAGGGGUUUGCUGUCCUUUGGCCCUGCCGACUGUCAGUUCGGGGUACACAGCAGUGCGGCUGUCCUUCCGACUCCUCGAACGGGUUGCCGACUCGGCCCGGCUCCCACUCAGCAGGGCCUGAGUGUUCUAAUGUGUUUCCACUGCUUCCAGGAGGCCCUCCAAGGUCUGGGGCGCUGCUCUCUUCAUGUCAUGGGGUUGUGCCCGUAGGAAGCGAUCCAGGCCCACUUUGUCUAGGAUGGAGAGGGUGGAUGUGUCGGUUAGGAGCCAUCCCCUGGUGAUGCCCAGUAGGUCGCUCAUCUGGGCUCGGGGCGUCGGGCUAUGAACCUCCAGCUGUGGAAGAGUUGAGCCCAAUGGGCCAGGCUGUACCUGUAGCGGCUGAGUAUCUUCCAUUUAAGUCCGUCGUAGUUAGCCGCCUGUUCAUCGUUCAGGUCCCACUACGCCUUUUGGGCAUUCCCAGAGCGGAACGGGGCCAGCAGACUGGCCCACUUCUGUCUUGGCCAUCCUUCCCGUAGUACCGUCCGUUCAAACGUACAGAGGUAGGUUUCGAUGUCAUCGUCUUCCGUUAGCUUGAGUAAAAACUGGUUUGGAUGCGAUUCAGUAGACUCUCCUCCUUGUAGCUUCCUGAUUUCCUCAAUGAGGAGGACGUUUUGUAGCCGCUGUUCCUCCAGCGUUCGUUCCUGAACCGCCUGUUGGGCCGAGACGAACUGAGCUAUCAACUCGUCCAUGCUGAUGCUGCGUAAACGUCAACCCUGAUCUGACCACGUUAUCAGAGUGCCCACAUUCUCCACCACUUAUGGCAGACCAGGGGGUUGGGUCAAAAUGUUUACACAGAUCAGAUACAGACAGAGAAGGAUUAGCUCAGUUUCAAAGAUGUUUAUUAAAAUAAUAGUUCAAAAAGAAAAGAAUAAGUCUCCCUCAAGAGACCCUCUCCGGGAUACCGUCUUCUGGGCUCCGGGUCUUGCUGUAUCCUGUGGGGAUGAAAAACUCAACUCCCUCCUGUUACCUCUGUAACCGUCCCCAACUAUACAGGAGUCCUUUCUUCCCCCACUCUCUUCCUGUGUGCUGCCCUUCUGGCAGCUUUAUGGGACUUGUACAGCUGAUGAACAACCAGCCCUUGAUUACUCACCAACUCCCAAUCAGCCCCAAUUAGUCCUGGACGGAGAGCCCGUCGAGACCUGGCACGUCCAGCAGAUGGAGCCAUCGCCUCGUGAUGUACACUCUGUCUGUCACCAGGCCUCGACGAGUCUCCCCCUGGUGGCUGACCUGCUGUACGCCACAAUGAAUACAACAGUAUAUAUAGCAUGUUUACAUAGAGAUAUAUAUAUAAACUAUACAACAGUAUAUAUAGCAUGUUAACAUGGGAAUAUAUAUCAUCUAUACAUGAAUAUAACAGUCUAUAUGGGUCCAGUGUUGGUUUCUUGAGGAGGGAAGCGACUCGGGCCAUCUUGAAGUCAGUUGUCAGGGAUGAGUUGGUGAGGGAAGUGAGGAAUGGGAGAAGGUCUCCAGAGAUGGUGUGGAGAAGGGAAUGGGGAUGAGUUGAUGAAGGAAGUGAGAAGGUCUCCAGAGAUGGUGUGGAGAAGGGAAUGGGGAUGAGUUGAUGAGGGAAGUAAGAAGGUCUCCAGAGAUGGUGUGGAGAAGUGAGGAGGGAAUGGGUGGGCAGGUUGUCGGGCGGACGGACAUCACUAAUCGCAGGAUUUUAUCUGGAGUGAGAGGGGAGAAUGAGGUCAAGGCGUAUGGUAGUUAUGGAGAGAGAGGGGAGAAAGAGGUCAAGGCGUAUGGUAGUUAUGGAGAGAGAUGGGAGAAAGAGGUCAAGGCGUAUGGUAGUUAUGUGUGAGUGGGACCAGUGGACUCAAUAGGCUGAGUGAAUGAGGAGCAGAUGUCGUCUGGAGAGAGAUGGGAUAAAGAGGUCAAGGCGUAUGGUAGUUAUGGAGCAAGAGGGGAGAAAGAGGUCAAGGCGUAUGGUAGUUAUGGAGAGAGAGGGGAGAAAGAGGUCAAGGCGUAUGGUAGUUAUGGAGAGAGAGGGGAGAAAGAGGUCAAGGCGUAUGGUAGUUAUGGAGAGAGAGGGAGAAAGAGGUCAAGGCGUAUGGUAGUUAUGGAGAGAGAGGGGAGAAAGAGAUCAAGGCGUAUGGUAGUUAUGGAGAGAGAGGGGAGAAAGAGGUCAAGGCGUAGGGUAGUUAUGGAGAGAGAGGGGAGAAAGAGGUCAAGGCGUAUGGUAGUUAUGGAGAGAGAGGGGAGAAAGAGGUCAAGGCGUAUGGUAGUUAUGGAGAGAGAUGGGAGAAAGAGGUCAAGGCGUAUGGUAGUUUUGUGUGAGUGGGACCAGUGGACUCAAUAGGCUGAGUGAAUGAGGAGCAGAUGUCGUCUGGAGAGAGAUGGGAGAAAGAGGUCAAGGUGUAUGGUAGUUAUGGAGAGAGAGGGGAGAAAGAGGUCAAGGCGUAGGGUAGUUAUGGAGAGAGAGGGGAGAAAGAGGUCAAGGCGUAUGGUAGUUAUGGAGAGAGAGGGGAGAAAGAGGUCAAGGCGUAUGGUAGUUAUGGAGAGAGAUGGGAGAAAGAGGUCAAGGCGUAUUGUAGUUCUGGAGAGAGAGGGGAGAAUGAGGUCAAGGCGUAUUGUAGUUAUGGAGAGAGAGGGGAGAAAGAGGUCAAGGUGUAUGGUAGUUAUGGAGAGAGAGGGGAGAAAGAGGUCAAGGCGUAUGGUAGUUAUGGAGAGAGAGGGGAUAAAGAGGUCAAGGCGUAUGGUAGUUAUGGAGAGAGAGGGGAGAAAGAGGUCAAGGUGUAUGGUAGUUAUGGAGAGAGAGGGGAGAAAGAGGUCAAGGCGUAUGGUAGUUAUGGAGAGAGAUGGGAUAAAGAGGUCAAGGCGUAUGGUAGUUAUGGAGAGAGAGGGGAGAAAGAGGUCAAGGCGUAUGGUAGUUAUGGAGAGAGAGGGGAGAAAGAGGUCAAGGCGUAUGGUAGUUAUGGAGAGAGAUGGGAGAACGAGGUCAAGGUGUAUGGUAGUUAUGGAGAGAGAGGGGAGAAAGAGGUCAAGGUGUAUGGUAGUUAUGGAGAGAGAGGGGAGAAUGAGGUCAAGGCGUAUGGUAGUUAUGGAGAGAGAGGGGAGAAAGAGGUCAAGGCGUAUGGUAGUUAUGGAGAGAGAUGGGAGAACGAGGUCAAGGUGUAUGGUAGUUAUGGAGAGAGAGGGGAGAAAGAGGUCAAGGUGUAUGGUAGUUAUGGAGAGAGAGGGGAGAAAGAGGUCAAGGCGUAUGGUAGUUAUGUGUGAGUGGGACCAGUGGACUCAGUAGGCUGAGUGAAUGAGGAGCAGAUGCCCUCUAGUGACCACUAUUCCAACACUAUAGUCAAUUACUUUGGGCCAAAGUCUCCCAAAGCUGUCUAAUACAUCUGGUCUAAAGUAGUGCACUAGGAAGGGAACAGGGCUCUGGUCUAAAGUAGUGCACUAUGAAGGGAACAGGGCUCUGGUCUAAAGUAGUGCACUAUGAAGGGAACAGGGCUCUGGUCUAAAGUAGUGCACUAUGAAGGGAACAGGGCUCUGGUCUAAAGUAGUGCACUAUGAAGGGAACAGGGCUCUGGUCUAAAGUAGUGCACUAUGAAGGGAACAGGGCUCUGGUCUACAGUAGUGCACUAUGAAGGGAACAGGGCUCUGGUCUACAGUAGUGCACUAUGAAGGGAACAGGGCUCCGUAGAGGAAUUUGGUGCCAUUUUAGAUUGGCCCUGUGUAUAUGCAACAUGAUAUAUCUAAUGUUGUUAGAUUAUAUAUAUUAGUGUAAAUUAUGUUAUUUGAUCUAUAUUAAUGUAAAUGAUGCUGUAUGAUGUAAAUGUCUCAGAAAAUAAACUGCCUGAUCCCGAAAGAACCAAUAAAAACCCAGAUGACAAA